rnacentral:lncRNA from 1 species
GGAAUUAACUGCUCAAUAUAAUAAGUACUAUUGAAUUUCCCAUCUCCAUGCAGAUAAAGGGCAACUGCCACCCAAAACACAGUAAUAACAGUAACUGAGUGAUGGGGGUGGGGAAGAAGAACCCCAUUUUUUAUUACCACCUUAAAAUGUUAUAGGUUAAAAUAAUCUUAAAGGGUUUCAAAAACAGCAAUUAAAUCUUUCCAUGUCUGUUUUCCAAGACUGCAGCUGAGAAAACGAGGGCCUAAGAGCCAUCCGGUGCUAGCCUUGUUAAUAACGCUCUGUGAAAAAUCUCAUUAAUUCAGUCUGGCUCUUCAGAUCAGCCGCUAAAUCCUUGUAUUGUCACUCAUCCUCUGGCCUUUUCAGGAUUUCCAUAGCCUAACUAGCAGUAUCUCCAUGGAAACCAAGCAGUCCUGCUUUGCACAUCCCGGAACUUUUUGUUCCUGACAAAGCUUGACAAAUCACAUGCAGCAUGGAGAGUUUAACAUAGCGAACUAAACCCUGACCCACACUUAGAAUGAUAAACCCAAGCAUACUAGCUUUAUUAUAAAUGAUUUCCUUACAAGAUACUUAACCAAGCCAGUGAAAUGUUGAACCAGACAAGUUUCAAGAACAAGGUGCUGGGGGGAGAAGGAGGGAGGAAAAAAAAAAAAAAAAGCAAAUAAAUAAAUACACAGAUAAAUAGGAACCCCGGGCGUGUUCAGCUGUAGGUUUUGUCAUCUCGUGUUCUGCCUAAUUGACUUAAAUUGAAAGCAACCAGAGGAGAAAAAGAGAGUGAGGGAUGCUAUUUCUGGGUCGUUCCUGAGAAAUGGCCUUCCUUCCCCACUCUGAGCCAGAAAGGGAACUCCUAAAGCCAUGCCCUGGUUUCCCGUAACUCCUGCAGAGGAUGGGCUUGGGAAUCUAACAGGUCUCCAAGGCUGGAGACCGAUUUGGGCUGUUCCGUCCGUGGGAUGCCUGUGAGUGGAGGCUUGAUGCUCUGCAAAGUGGGAAGGCGUGGUCCCUCCUAGAAAGUGGGCGGCCUUGCUGGGAAGGGAGGCUGGGUCCUCUCACCAGGGCGACAGGAAGGCAGAUAGAGCACAGCGUUCUCCAGGGUCCUGUCUCCCUCUGAGGCGCCUGCGUCCCCAUUCCUUCCUUGAGUUUCCUUGGCAAGGCUCCCUUCCCAGCCCUCUCUCCUCCAGGGCAUCCAACCAGGUGAUGGGGCUGGGUGGCAGGUCCCCCCACAGGACCACUGUCCCCAGGGAAAGGAGAAGAAGGCAGGUGCGUUUGUGGGGCGGGGCAGCCAGAGCAGACAGGGACCCCUCGGACAGUCCAUACAUGUGUCCUUGACUUCAGCUUUCACUUCUUCACAGAGUGGGCGCCAAGGGUCUACCUGAAGGCAGCAUCCCGACUUCGCUUAGCCAGGCUGGACGGGGCGCGGGGCAGGAAGGAGGCUGUGCUUUCCGAGGAGGAGGGGCCCUUCAUGGCCUCCUCGUCUCACCGCAGCUUUACUGGCCACUCGUGCUUCCUGAGGGUAGAUGAACAAGGGCGUCCAAUGACUCUUGGUCACGGGUGACCCAGGAGGGCUAGGGCCACCAUCAUUGCUAAGCCCCUCGGUCUCCUGCCUCCCUUUCGUCCCCGGUGCAGGACAACAGGUGGGCAAUGGUGGGGUGUGUGAUGGAAAAGGUAGAACAGGGGUGCCGGAGGGCAGCCUAGGAAACACCCCGAGGCCUAGACUUGAUUCUGCCUCCUUGUUCUGGGCCUUGACGACACUUGGAAUCACUUUAGGGAUGUUUAAGGGUCUGAGCCAAGGUCUUCCUUCGCCGAUGCUUCUUGGGUUUGAGGCUGGCAGUGUUUCAGAGGCGUCAUGACACCUGCAGCCCUAGAAAUGCUUUGCCUUAGCAAACCAGGCUGACCUCUGGGUGGGCAUCUGCAUCUAAACCCUCUCCAUCUAAGCCAGGAACUCGCCAGCACAGUGCUCCUGGAUGUUUACAACAAGGACCAGUUCUGGACACAUGUCCACACUCGGCAAAUAUUUGCUGAUGAACUGAAUUGGUGCCUGUAAGAUCCCACUGUUCCCUCUGAUCUUCAGAGCAAGAGUAGAAGCCAUAUAAUAAUAAUAAUAAUUAGAGUAAGAGUAAUAAUAAUAACAGCUAGCUCUUCUGAAGUUCUUCCUCUGUAACGCCAGGCAUUCUUCUGCCUGUUUCCCUAGAAAAGUCCCUUUAAUCCUCACAACCAGCAUCUAGAGAAGAUGCCAUGAAUAUGCCCAUAUCACGAGCUUCAUUUUGCCCAUGAAAAUACUGAGACACAAAGAGCUUAACGUACUCAAGUUCACAGAGCCGGUUAGUGAUAGACCUGGACUUUGAACCCAGGCAGACACAUUUUCCUCUCUGCCGUCUUGCCAUGCUAGCAACGCUAAGUGCCCCAAACCGAAAGAAUCAGUUCGUUGUAAUAGCUGACACCUCCUGAAUGCUUGCUCUGUGCCAGGCACCGUUCUAACCGCAGAGGCGUCACCUCCUUCAUCUGUCACAUCACUCCUGCAGGUUCCACUAGAAGGUGGGCGCCACGGUCAGCAUCAUUUUACAGAUGAGGAAGCUGAGACGCAGAGAGGUUAAGCCAUCACUUCAAGUCAUGUAACUGCUAAAUGACAGAACCAGAUUCAGACCCAAGCAGCACGGUUCUAGAAACUCCUGUCAGACGGGACCCUCAUUCCUCAGAUCAUUCCUGGCAAGAUGGAGAGUUUAUAUUCCAUGCAAGCAUGAUUCUGGGCAAACAGUUUAUUCCUGAAGCCCCUCUCUAUUCCUGAACGCACCUGCUGGGUGACCCUGGUAUGAUUACAUUUUUCUUUCCAAGACUCCUUUUCUUUCUUUCUUUCUUUUUUUUUUUUUUUUUUUUUUGUCUUUCUCUCUUUUCUAGGGCCACACCCACGACAUGUGGAGGUUCCCAGGCUAGGAGUCGAAUCGGAGCUGUAGCCACUGGCCUACGCCAGAGCCACAGCAAUGCCAGAUUCGAGCCACGUCUGCAACCUACACCACAGCUCGUGGCAACACCAGAUCCUUAACUCACUGAGUGAGGCCAGGGAUUGAACCUGCAACCUCAUGGUUCCUAGUCGGAUUCGUUAACCACUGCGCCACGACGGGAACUCCCCAAGACUACUUUUCAAACUGCUAUUUUUUAGAGGUUCCCCCAAACAAGUUGAGGCCCCGGACUGAGCCUGCGAGAAGGGCCGCCCCAUCCCCUUGUCAUGACGGAUCCCCCUCCUGGGGACCCCAGGUCCAGAGGGGCGCCACCCACCUUCCGGCUUGCACUCAGGACUGUCAGGGAGCUUGGCGGAGUCUGGCUCUUGGCACAGACUCUGGGAGAUCAGACAGCGCUCACUGGAUGAAGGGACACUGCCAACGCUUAGGGACCUAAAAUUAGACCUACCAGCUGUGUUUUGGUUUUGCAAGCACGUGUGUGUCUGCUCCAUUCUUGAGCGUGCCGGGUGUUGAAAUAUAGAUGGAACCUGCUCUCUGAAGUACAGGGAAAGCACGCCAUUCGUGCACCUUGUCUUUAAUUUACUGUUUCUCUUCUGAGGCCCCGUCACUCCUUCACGGCCCCGGGAGUGACAUUCCCCUCCGUCCUCUUUCUCCUGUGGGCCGCUGCCUCCAAGGCCCACAUCCACAUUCACCCUUAAGAAACCCAGCCGGUCUCUGCGGAGGCGGAGCACAAAGCACAUGAUUCCUGCUCUCUGUCCAGGCUCUCUGCCCCCUGGGUCACAGCCUCUUCUGGAACAUACUACCUGCUGACCUUAGCAAAAGGGGCCACGGCUGGUCCAAGAGCGGGUUCUUGGCCUGGGAGGGAGUAGGGCUGGUGGGUGGCUGUGAGACAUGGGGUAGAGAGGCCCUGGGGUCCCUGUCCCAUGAGGAUGGCCCUGGGCAAGGGCAAGCCACCCACGAGGGAAGGUCGCAGGGGGUCCAGGAGAGCAGGCAAGGCAUCCUGAGCCCAUUCAGGCUGCUGUCCCAAAAAAAACACCAUAGACGGGGUCGCUUAUAAAUUUUAAAUUUAAUUUCAAUUUAAAAUUUAAUUCACUUAUAAAUUUUAAUUUAAUGUCAAUUUUAAAUUUAAUACAUUUACAUUUAAGUGGCCCUGUGGGGCUAGUGGCUGCCAUAGGGGACAACACCUUAGGAAGGGAAGCGGCUCGGCCAGCGUGCACACGAAGCACCAGAGGUGGGGACCCACGCCUGCGAUGACUUCGGGUUCCCCACUGCAGGCCCCUGUCUCCACGCAGGGCCGCCCCAACCCAUCCACACAGGGCUGGCUUUCCAGCCAAAGGGUGGAAAAAAAGCCUGGUGCCCUCAAGGGAAGUGUGUCUCUUUCCCCUCUAGAGCCUUUAAUCGUCCUGGCCGUAGGGAGGUUCCCGCAGAGCCUGGACCAAACUCGAGCUGCUGAGGUUAUCAGCGCAUCUCUCUUGGCGAGCCCCUCUCCCAGGCGGCCUCUCCUGCCUGCGGCCACGGGCCCGCGAGGAGGGCACCCUGUGCUCGUCCAUCAGCGUCGACCGCCCACCCCAUCCUCUCACCCGGACCACGGCCGCCUCCUCACUCGAUGCUCUGCUCGGCCCUGACCUCCCGCAGUCCCUCGUGCCCACGGCCGUCCUGGCCAUCUUUUUCGAAGGGGAAUUGGGACCUCUCGAUCCGAUGUGUUGAAUCACUCGGGGGCUACACUUAGCACCCCUCGGCUUCUGCUUACCUCUCCAUCACACCCCACUCGGCUCUCCCUGUCAUCCCUCCCGCCCCCCAGUGCCUCCCUGUUAGGUCACCCGGGCACUUAACCCGCUAUAAAUCCCUGGGGGAGGGGCCUUGUGUUCGCAGCGGACGACGCAGUCCUUAGGACACAGCAGGUACUUAAUAAAAAUGUACUGAGUGAUGAGGGAAUCCUGGAUUAGCACGUCGGGGCCAUGACAAGUGCAAGGAGUACCCAUGUUUCACCACCAGAAAGGUGAUCCUGGCGCACAUCCCUUCGAAGCACUUGGUGUGCUUGAAGACACUGUACAUUGAUCCUGAAGUUAAAAUGAAAUACGUGUAUCUUACGCGCUGAGCUAUAAACCAGGAAAGAGACCGUCUAUCUCAAGGCUGUGACUCCCUCUCCCCCAAAACAGCAUCUUGGGCUUCGACCUCGAAAAGUGCCACAGAAGCCCUUUCCCCGCCAUAGUCACCCAGGAACACAUGCCCUUUUGGGACUCAAGUCUUCAUAAAGAAAAUAGAGUUUAGAGUUUGGGCACCAAGAUCUCAGGGGAAUCUGAGAAAACCUUAGACACUUUUUUCUUUUGGAUAAAACAAUAAAGUUAGCACCAU